rnacentral:rRNA from 1 species
CUGGCUCAGGACGAACGCUGGCGGCGUGCUUAACACAUGCAAGUCGAACGAUGAACCUGGAGCUUGCUCUAGGGAAUUAGUGGCGAACGGGUGAGUAACACGUGAGUAACCUGCCCUUGACUCUGGGAUAACCUCCGGAAACGGAAGCUAAUACCGGAUAUGACGCACGGAGGCAUCUCCUGUGCGUGGAAAGAACUUCGGUCAAGGAUGGACUCGCGGCCUAUCAGGUAGUUGGUGAGGUAACGGCUCACCAAGCCUACGACGGGUAGCCGGCCUGAGAGGGUGACCGGCCACACUGGGACUGAGACACGGCCCAGACUCCUACGGGAGGCAGCAGUGGGGAAUAUUGCACAAUGGGCGCAAGCCUGAUGCAGCAACGCCGCGUGAGGGACGACGGCCUUCGGGUUGUAAACCUCUUUUAGUAGGGAAGAAGCGAAAGUGACGGUACCUGCAGAAAAAGCACCGGCUAACUACGUGCCAGCAG